UGAGGACNAGUAUCAACGGCCCCACRAGGGUUACACUGUCUCCUCUUUCURGUCMGUGAAACUAAUCUCCCCGUGAAGAAGCGGGGAUAUUUCUAUAAAACGAGAAGACCCUAUGGAGCUUCAAACCAAACUACACCCCAWAAUUCUNUMGCCCAUAAUCUAUUGGGCCCUGCAUAGUUKGUUUUAGGUUGGGGCGACCACGGAGUACAACGAAMCCUCCACAAUGAAYGGGACUACCCCCUUAUCUMAGGACUACMCCCCUAANAAUUAGAAUACUAAUAUAARAUGACCCAUUAUUUGAUCAAUGAACCAAGUUACCCUAGGGAUAACAGCGCANUCCAUUUCAAGAGCUCCMAUCGACAAGUGGGUUUACSACCUCGAUGUUGGAUCAGGGUAUCCCAGCGGUGCAGCAGCUACNAACGGUUCGUUUGUUCAACGAUUAAMACCCU
rnacentral:rRNA from 1 species